AACACACCUUGCGCAUGCUCACUCGUGUGAUAGUAAUGGGCGAUGCACGAGAACAGAGUAGUCGAGACUUUGUGGAUUUGAAAUGAUAGUCGUGUCGUUUUAGGAAACAGGGGUACCUUGCAUGUGUAAAACUAUCGGAAUAUUAUUUAUUGCCAAGAUAAUUUCAACUCGCUAGUGUUUUAGCAUGACUAACUAGCUUUGUUUUGGUGGCUAGCUAAACAACGCAGAGCAACGUUGUUAUCGAGCUAACUUACAUCCAUUAAAGUGUAUUUAAUGGACCGUUAGCACUUACAAAUCCGAGUUGGCGCGCGAAUGUGGUAAAUAAGACGUGCCCUAUUGAUGGAAAAAAGCACGUCUCCACCGCCAUACAAAUAAAACGUUUGCUAAAUUAUGCUAAAACGUUUCAGACAUAGCCAACGGCACUCAAUGGCUACUCUAUUUUCUGACUUGUAGAAUAAUGUGACUGCAGUCGUGUAAAUACAGAAUGGACAGAGACUUGUUGAGGCAGUGUUUGACCUAUCAUGGAGAAUCGUUUUUCAACAAACUGAAAUGUGAACAAACAGAAAACCCAGACUUCCAAGCUGUGGUGUCUGACCUGUGCAAGGUCUCGUGUGAAAGCAAGAGUGAUGGGCAGGACAGCCCCCUUGUGGAGCAGUUCAUUGCCAGGAAGGCUGACAUCCUGUUCUGUCCAACGUGGAAAACCACGAAUCAUCAAGAAGAGGAACAUGAGGAGGCGGACGACGCUGCAGAGCCAUAUGCCAUCAUGCCACCAAUGGAGUUAUUCAUGGAAGUGUCUUAUGAAGAAAGAAGAACCAUGCUGUACAGGGACUUGGAAAGAGGAGACAUUGUGGCGGGGAGGAUCAACAACAUUAGAGACUACGGCUUCUUUCUCACUCUGCUUUGCACGGCAGGAGGACUGAAGAGAGACAUAGAGGACCUAGAGUUGUCGGCUCUUUGUCACAUCAGAGAAAUUCCCUCUACUGGCAGCCAUGACGAUCCUCUGUCCUACUUCCAGAUCGGGGACUUCAUCAGAGCUGCAGUGAAAGAUAUUGACCGCUACCAGGAGAAAAUCACAGUCUCUGUCCUCCAGGCCUCUCUUUCACCCAACUUGGAGCACAUCAAACUGGGUGUCGUUCCUCGGGAGGAGCUACCCAUACACUACAGUCGUAGCGUUCUUGCAGCCGCUGACUCCAGGAAGACAUACGAGUGUAUACUGAAGAGUUGCCAUGGCUACCACAACCCCUCUGUAGUGGCCUACCUGCUGGGAAAGGUGGGCGUUAGUGACACCCACCCACCAUCAAUGAUGAGAGGACUCCAAAGUAAGCUUUUUCAAGAGGAAGAUUUUGCCUCUGCACUCAGGAAGAAACAGUCUGCAUCAUGGGCUUUGAAGUGUGUCCGUGCAGGUGUGGGCCACUUCAAACAUGGCCACCAUGUGGAAGCCAUGAACGAAUACAACAAAGCCUUGGAUAUCGACACUAAUAAUGUAGAAGCUCUGGUGGCUCGUGGAGCUCUGUAUGCUAACAAAGGCAGCAUCAUGAAGGCUAUAACAGACUUUGAACUGGCCCUGAAGAGCUGUCCAGAUCACCGCAACGCCAAGAAGUACCUCUGCCAAACGCUGGUGGAGAGAGGGAAACAGCUUGAGGAACAUGAGAAACUAGUAACCGCAGAGGGAUUGUACAGGAGAGCUCUAUCUCUGGAUGACUCAAACCCUGAGGCGCAGGAGGCCCUGCACAAGAUCACAGACACUAUACAGGUGAGCAGGCCACCACACACAUACACAGGGUUGGGGGAAAGCAGUGUGUGUACUUAAGGCUUAACUAUGAUAGAACUGCAGUCAUAAUGGCCAUAUCAAAGCUUUAAGUCGCUAAUCAAUUAAAAAACUAAGGCAAAUGCAUAUCGAGAUGUUUUACGGGGUUGUUUGAUCCUGUGUUUUUGUUCAUGAAGCAACUAAGCUAAGAGACGGAUAGUUCCCCCACUAGUUGGUGGAAACUCACAACAAAGUUAUAAAUCUUUUUUUGGAUUAUUAACUUCUACUUAAAAAAUAGAUAUUUUUGAAAUAAGGUGGCUUCUCUUUAUAUCUGUAUUAUUAGAUAGAUACAGACAUAUUUUCAAUAAUAACCACAUACAAGGCCCUUUGACUAAUAAUACUAAUAACAUUAGCGAUGACUCUGAUCUCUUCUAGUGAACCAACAUUUACCCAACAUAUCUUUAUACAAACUGGAAAUGAAACAAUACUUGUGCCAUUCAAAUGUAACAAAGACAAAUCAAAAAUGUUUUUUAUGUUAUAUAUUUUCUUGUUUUGUUUUCUAAAGGCCUCCUGGGUUGUUUUUACUAACAUAUACACUAAUCAAGUGGAACCAGUCAAAGCGGUGAAAACAUCUGUGGGGGGUACCGGGGUUGUGGAGGGGCUUAACAAUAUCUGGACCAGAGCACCGUGGAGUGCUGUCCAUGGUGCUGAAUCUUGUCUGAAAACAUUUACACAGGGUUUGUGAAAGGAAAAAAAGAUGUUCUGCUCUGAACAACACAUACAUGUUACUGGUUUGUAAUACUGAUGAAGUGUUUUUGUGUGUGUGUGUGUCUGCGACCCUGGGACUGUGCUCUUUGACCCUCCAACUGCCUUGGUCUUGUCACCUGCCUUGCGGGUGUGAAAAUAAAUAAACGGCACAAUGACCACGACUCCUCCACUGGACACUUGUGUGUGCCGUGUCCCUGAUCCAAAUACGAAAUCGAUUCGCCUGCGAGAAGAAGCGCUGGCUAAGGAGCAGGAGAAAGCUACGACCAGCCAGACCAGUGCUGAGAAAUUGCGUAAGAUCUUAAAAGAGGAGAAGAGGAUGAAGAAAAAACGGAAGAGAUCGACCUCUUCGUCAUCCAACACUUCCUCCAGGAACUCCUCUUCGUCGUCUUCCUCCUAUCGCAGAAGGUCCAAAAAGAAGAAAAAGAAGAGGAGGCGGUCUGAGCGGGGAAGUAAGCGACAUCGCAGGAUCUCCUCAGUAGAGAGCAGGAGUGAGGAGGGUAAGAGCGAGAAAGACCGGAAGGUGAAAGAGGAGGAUGAGGUGGAGUGGUAUCCCGCUCCUCCCAACACCUCCGCCACCUUUCUCACCCAGAAAGGAGGCCCGGAUUUUGGAGAGAGUGAUGAGGUCGAGGUAAUGGUGAAGGAUGCUGAUGAUAGACGCAUCGCUCAACUGUACUCCUUGUCUGCAGCUUCAGAGGAUGAAGAGUCUGACUCCUCACGCAGACAAAGGAAGGGAAGGGACAGAGAGGAGAGCAGGAAAAGGGGCAGAAACCCAGAAAGUGAGGAGAUGGGGAGCACGAGUAGGGACAAGGGUAUGGAGGAUAACAGGAAAGACAGGAGGAACAGUGACUCCAAGAGGAGUAGCUUGGGCGAGAACAGAAAGCGGAAGGUAUCCUGCUCGUCCGCGGAGUCCGAGUAUUCACGGACAUCCACUUUGAAAUCUGAAUAUUUAGGGAACUCGGGUCCUGCAUCAAAACAAGUAGAGAGAGGGAUGAGACAUGACUCUUCCAAGAGGAACUCCUUCGAUGGCGGAAGCUAUGAGUGCAGAGGGCGGGAGGAAAUUCAAGAGGUAGAAGAGGCCAGGAGAGCGCUAGACAACAGAAAGGGGAAAGCAGUGGACGGCAGCAGCAGGUCAGACGCAGGAAACGGUAAAACAUCAGAAGGUGCUGGAAAUCACAACAAACCGAGUAGUUUGACCUCAGUGCCAGAAGGAAGGGCUCAAAAGGACCUCCCAUCUAACCUGUUAGAUAUUUUCAAUCAGAUUGCCCAGUUUAAGAAGGAGAAAGGAGUCGGCCCAAAAUAAUAACUCGAAACCAAAAGUCCAAAAGGUGCCCGAAUAUUUGUAAAAUGUGACUGUGAAAUAUGGAUGUUUGUACCAUGAAACCAUUAAUUCUGGACUGUGUUUCAAGCUGAUUGAAUGUUCCCAGUUGUUGUACCUUUUUUUUAAUUAUUUUUACUUUGAAAUGUCUUAGUCCUUGUUGUAGAUCUAAGGCCUGUGAGCAACUUAAAAUGUUCAUCAACAAUUGGUUGACGCUAUAAUUUGGGUAAAUACGUUUUACAAAUGAUGUGUUAACAUGUUAUGAUUGUAACUGGUGAUUUAUUAGUAUAUUUCAAGAGAAGGAACAGAUCAGUGACAGCUGAUAUUAUAAAAGUAGUCUAUCGCUUCAUCUGCGUUCAUUUCCUCCAUUUAAAGGGUUAUUACUUUAUUCAGUUCAUCGGUUGCUGCAGGCUUUAAUAUCUGUUUAGUGUUCAUCUUAAGUUGAGACUUUGAUCUGUUAAAGAAGAUACUGCCUUAUGUUUACUGCCUUGUGCCAUUGUGUGCAUUCUCUCUGGCUUGUUAAAUCCUAAACGACCUGACUGUUAGUACUGCAGUACUUUUACUCAAGCUUCACACAAUGCAGAUGUUUCAGUUGUAUCCCGACACAUUUUCUCUGUAGUAGAACGAACUGUUGAAUCAAUAAAGCAUUUGAAAUGUCAAAACUA